AUGGAGCGCGACACCCUCUCCUUCCUCGAGGCACGCUUCCACAAGGCCCAGAAGGCGCUCUUUGGAGAUGAUCCCUCGAGAAAGGCAGUGGUGACGACCCCGAGGGAGAGCCCUGCUGCUCUGCUUCCUGAAGUCGUGGCGGUGCUCGAAGAUGCUGUCGACGGGUUUGCAUCCUUGGUGGAAAGCGAGGCACGCUCACUUUCUUCCUCGGCUCUGACGUGCGUCUUCAGCCAUCUUUAUCUCCAGGAUGCCAGCUUCAACCUCUCCUCCUUCCUUACUCCGGUGGACGCCGACUCCCAGGAUGCUGCUGCUGCCGCCGUGAAGAGCUUCGUGGACGCCUUGCUGAGCAAGUACCUGGUCGUUGGUCCUCUGACUGAAGCCGGUGGAACGGGUGACGCGCCUGGCGACGAGGCUCUGCUGGCGGGCAGCGGUGAUACCCAAGUCUGA
rnacentral:rRNA from 1 species